CGACCGAGAUUUAUUCAAAAUGCGGGGGGCCCCCCUUUGGGGCCCCCCGUAGAAGACUUAAGACUGGUAGCCGAGGUAUAGGGAGGACGUACUCGAAGUAUUCGUCUGGGGUUCGCGGUCGGCGGUGCUCUUCUGGUCCAGCGCUUUGCAGUCGGUAUCGAUUCUGGUCUGACCACCCAUUCCUUUUGAACCUCGUCUGGUACAGCCGCACUGUGCUGUCUUGUACCAUGAUGUUGUUCUUGUGCAACCGCAGGACUUUGAUGUAGUCCAGCCUUGCUGACUUAUCUCAAGAGAUGUCACCAAGACCAUUGUGGUCCAACACUCCUGGUGUCUGGUAUCAUGUGCUAGGACAACGCCAGCUUGUGGUGACUUAUGUAGCCUGCGGUUCCUCAGUUGUUUAGCACACGAAUAGGCGAGUGAAGGGAAAAAUAUACUAUAUAUCAACCCACGGUUCUGGAGUGUAAUAUACCAAGAACUCAAAAACGGCACAUUUUAUUUUCUGUGCAAUGAUGAAUUAUAUUUUCAUGAUCUGUGUCCUUCAUAUGGGUCAAUUUUGACAGAAGGAUGGUGAAGUCGAAUGUUUGAGUGUACCAUGAGGGGCUUUGCAUUCCGACUGGUUGCUUGCUAAGGGUUGCGCUUUAAGUUUGCAAUGGUAGUUUGGUAGACUGUUGGUUCCUUCCACUUCACCGCUGUGAACUUUUAAAUUUGUACUUUUAAUAUUGCACAUACUUGCUUGUCUUAAGAUUGUGGCAACCCUUAACCGGUUCACUGUCAAAUUUUUCUGCAAUAGUUUCAUUCAUACGUUUUCAGAUUGAAUUGUAUCUGCAGUUUCAGUUUAUAGAAACAAAGACUCUUCAGUUUGGCUAAUUGGUUAGCCUAAUGUAUUCGGCGUUGGAUCAGGACUCUACCAGAACUCACUUGCCAUCGCUGAAAGACCCUCCAGCCAGAUGGUUGCUUCAACGAGGACCACCGCAGCUGAAAGACCCUCCAGCCAGAUGGUUGUUCAAUGCUGAGCUCUCUUGCUGCGAGAGAUCUGGUGCAGAUUCCCAGAAUGGCCUGAGACAACGGAUUAUCAGUUGUAACGAUGGUUAUAAGUUAUAGUUAUUGGACUGCAAAACUCUUGUGUUGUGUAGACGUUGAUAGUCUGCGGAUGAAUCUUCCCCCUACAGGGCAUUGAGGACCGAACAAAGUUGCUGUACUGAUCUACCGGGCUCAUUGACCUGUUUUUGAACUUUGAACCAUGGCGAUCCCAAUGUCUUGACAUCUGCUACUUCAUGAAUAAAAACAGUUUUUUCUAAUUUGAUUUUGAUCUUUGCGACUGUUCAUAAUUCAACUUUCUUAACCUCACCAGGAGUAGCCUACACUAUGCCUGAAGUCUGUUUAUAGAAUACAGGAAUCCCAACAACUCUAUGCUCGCUACAAAUUUGAUUUUAAUCUGCGAUGAACUGAUCGGAAGUGCAACCAAUUAAAUGGAAUAAUUAAGUCUUGCAUUUGAAGAGCCUGUUUGCCCGGUAAUUCCCACUCAUAACGGGGCCCUGACAAAGCAGCACUAAAAGUUCACGCUUUGUAACAAGUGCUUAAUUUGUAUUUCCAGCAAUUGUGGCAAAUUAAGAUAUUGAUAUAAAAACUAUUGGACCAUGGUUAUAUUGUGCCAUUUGGUAUUUAUUCAGUGGUAGAUUGGACUCCAGUUUUGAUCAUUGCCAUCCGCAUCACUCUUUAUCCCUUGAGACCCAUUCAUGGCUUGACGAUGCGUUUGCCUAGUUGGUCAGUCAAUUGUAGAAUUAGGAUCCAACUAUUUCAGACGUGCAUUCAGUCACUGUCCAAGUGUAAUCCAACACCGGACUGACGCGAGUGGCCCUGGACUAUUCAUAUGAAGGUAUCACUUAGGACCGACUCAAAUUAAAACUCUAAACCCCUAAGCUUGUAACCAUAAGCUCAUAUCAACCGGGUCUUUGCAUGAGUAGGUUUCUAAUGCAGAGUGACGGAAGGCGCGUUAUCCUACAGGGGAAGUCAGCUGGAUGGUCCCUGAGCCACAUGGAGGGCUGUGGAGGCCGGGCGGCACCUGUCGAUCCACUUCAAUUAUACGCUCUGCAACAAGAAAAGUGCGUGCCCUUUUCCAUGCUCGUUAAAGUAACGACCGCCAAACGAAGCAGACGUGCUGAGCACAAGGAUGAGAUGUCCACCCCCCACGAAGAACUAAUCCUCCAGGUCGUUCUUCACCGGUUGCCGCUCCGUAUCGUACCAGUUAUCAAGAAUGUUUUUAAUCUCGUUCAACAUAGCGGGCUGGAGAUACUUUUGGAAGGAUCACCUUCUAGCACGUCUACUCCAUUGUUGAGGUCUUUCUUUCAAAGGCCAUUCUUGUCCUUGGACGACAACAAUGGAAGGAUGACAAACUUUUUCUGAAACUUUUAUCAUCUAAAAUAAGCAGUCAUCUUUUG